GAGAGGUGACUCUGCAAAGUGUUGUCACAUAAGACUUUAUAACCAGCACCAUCCGGUCUCGAAAACCGGUGUACCGGCAACGGUACCGAGGGUUCGAAUCCCUCCCUCUCCG
rnacentral:tRNA from 1 species